UGAAUACGAGACGCUACGGCGUCGAAGCAGUCUAUGUCAUACUUCCAAGAAAAGCUUGCACUGUCAUAAACAAAUAAUGCCUGUACCAUAACCGACACAGGUGGGUAGGUAGAGUAUACUAAGGGGCGCGAGAUAACUCUCUCUAAGGAACUCGGCAAAAUGACUCCGUAACUUCGGGAGAAGGAGUGCCUUAUUUAUAAGGUUGCAAUAACAAGAUCCAAGCAACUGUUUAUCAAAAACACAGGUCUCCGCUAAGUCGUAAGACGAUGUAUGGGGGCUGACGCCUGCCCAGUGCCAGAAGGUUAAAGAAGUUGGUUAGCAUUAGCGAAGCUGAUAACUGAAGCCCUGGUGAACGGCGGCCGUAACAAUAACGGUCCUAAGGUAGCGAAAUUCCUUGUCGGGUAAGUUCCGACCCGCACGAAAGGCGUAAUGAUUUGGAUACUGUCUCGGAGAGGGGCUCGGUGAAAUAGACUUGUCUGUGAAGAUGCGGACUACCUGCACCUGGACAGAAAGACCCUAUGAAGCUUUACUGUAACCUGAAAUUGAAAUUGGACUUUAUUUGCGCAGUAUAGGUGGGAGGCGUUGAGAAUAUUCUUGCGGGAAUAUUGGAGCCAUCAGUGAGAUACCACUCUUGUAAUGUUAGAUUUCUAACUUUGAAUCAUUAUCUGGUCAAAGAACAGUUUCAGGCGGGCAGUUUGACUGGGGCGGUCGCCUCCUAAAUGGUAACGGAGGCGCACAAAGGUUUCCUCUGAACGGGUAGAAAUCGUAUCUAGAGUGUAAAGGCAUAAGGAAGCUUGACUGUGAGACCUACAAGUCGAGCAGGGACGAAAGUCGGUCUUAGUGAUCUGACGGUGCUGAGUGGAAAGGCCGUCACUCAACGGAUAAAAGUUACUCUAGGAUAACAGGCUGAUCUCCCCCAAGAGUUCACAUCGACGGGGAGGUUUGGCACCUUGAUGUCGGCUCAUCGCAUCCUGGGGCGGUAGUACGUCCCAAGGGUUGGGCUGUUCGCCCAUGAAAGCGGUACGCGAGCUGGGUUCAGAACGUCGUGAGACAGUUCGGUCCAUAUCCGGUGUAGGCGUUAGAAUAUUGAGAGGAGCCUUCUUUAGUACGAGAGGACCGAGAAGGACAUACCUCUGGUGUACCAGUUAUCGUGCCAACGGUAAACGCUGGGUAGCUAUGUAUGGAGAGGAUAACCGCUGAAAGCAUCUAAGUGGGAAGCCCACCUCAAGAUAAGUAUUCUCU
rnacentral:rRNA from 1 species